UAGUAAGAUCCCUGAAAGAUGAUCAGGUUGAUAGGUUCGAGGUGGAAGCAUGGUGACAUGUGGAGCUGACGAAUACUAAUAGAUCGAGGACUUAACCAUAUAA
rnacentral:rRNA from 1 species